rnacentral:lncRNA from 1 species
UGAGGCUGAUCAACACUUCACACACGGCUUGCCCUCUUCAUAGAACUGGUUUGGAUCUCCCCCUCUCAACAGACUUCUCAGCCAUCUUAGAGAAGCUAGGAACUGACCAGGAACAUCUUUAGUGAGGCUCAAGCAAUGGUACCUGAUACAUUAUCCCAAAGGUGCAUCAGUACCUAUCAAAAACAAGAACAUGAAUAUCCUGCAUCACACUUGAUGCACACAAUCUCACAAUUCAAUCACAAUCAUCUUAAUUAUCUUUUCAAGCACAAGCAAUUAGUAAGAUGAAUGAAAAAGAUUGAAAAGAGUUUUAAAAGUCUAAGGGAACUUCCCUUGUGUUUUUGUGAGUUUCCAAACUCUCUCAAUGCACCAUCUUCAUGGCAUCAUCAACUCCUUGGAAAGGCAGAAUGGAUUCAUCAGCUUCUCCUCAAUCACCUCUCAUUGAAGCCGCAUUGAUGGAGAGCCUUCUUCCUCACUCGCCAAGGCUGCUCUGAACAGCCUCUUGCCUAGACACGCCACUGACUUGGUCCGGUUGAUGAUCCUUGUAGAAGCUUUUGCAAAAGACUUGUUACUGACCAUGGAUCAUAUGCAUUCAGACUCCCCCUCAAGCUUAGAACCGAGACUAGAAGGAGCUAAGCUUGUGAUGAUCCUAUGCAUCCCCAUGGUCUAAUAACUAUCAUCUUUCAUGAUAGCUUUCUUCUUGUGAGUUUACUCUCUUCCUUAACCAGGAACUAGGGUGUUUGAAUCACCAUAGAGAGUCUCAC